rnacentral:rRNA from 1 species
UACGGGGGGGGCAAGCGUUGUUCGGAAUUACUGGGCGUAAAGGGUUCGUAGGUGGCUUGCUCAGUCAGACGUGAAAUCCCUCAGCUUAACUGGGGAACUGCGUCUGAUACUGGCGAGCUUGAGUGCAGGAGAGGAACGCGGAAUUCCAGGUGUAGCGGUGAAAUGCGUAGAUAUCUGGAGGAACACCGGUGGCGAAGGCGGCGUUCUGGACUGCAACUGACACUGAGGAACGAAAGCCAGGGGAGCAAACGGG